rnacentral:rRNA from 1 species
UACGUAGGGUCCGAGCGUUGUCCGGAAUUACUGGGCGUAAAGCGUGCGUAGGCGGUUUGUUAAGUCCGUUGUGAAAGCCCUGGGCUCAACCUGGGAAUUGCAGUGGAUACUGGCGAGCUAGAGUGCGGUAGAGGAUGGUGGAAUUCCCGGUGUAGCGGUGAAAUGCGUAGAGAUCGGGAGGAACACCCGUGGCGAAGGCGGCCAUCUGGACCAGCACUGACGCUGAGGCACGAAAGCGUGGGGAGCAAACAGG